CCCAUCUACUCCUUCGGGAUUGCGGGGGGGCGGAUGAUGGCCUCCCGUGCGCCUCGUCGCGCGGUUGGCAUAAAUGCCAAGUCCUCGGCGACGCACGCCACGACAAUCGGUGGUUGCGAAACCUCGGUUGCCCGUCGUGUGCGGUCGUCGCGCAUCGAGGGCUCG
rnacentral:misc_RNA from 1 species